rnacentral:rRNA from 1 species
AUUGAACGCUGGCGGCAGGUUUAACACAUGCAAGUCGAGCGGUAACAGAGAGAAGCUUGCUUCUCUGCUGACGAGCGGCGGACGGGUGAGUAGUGCCUAGGAAUCUGCCUAGUAGUGGGGGAUAACUUGCCGAAAGGUAAGCUAAUACCGCAUACGUCCUACGGGAGAAAGGAGGGGACCUUCGGGCCUUUCGCUAUUAGAUGAGCCUAGGUCGGAUUAGUUAGUUGGUGAGGUAAUGGCUCACCAAGACCGCGAUCCGUAACUGGUCUGAGAGGAUGAUCAGUCACACUGGAACUGAGACACGGUCCAGACUCCUACGGGAGGCAGCAGUGGGGAAUAUUGGACAAUGGGGGGAACCCUGAUCCAGCCAUGCCGCGUGUGUGAAGAAGGUCUUAGGAUUGUAAAGUACUUUAAGUUGGGAGGAAGAGCAGUGAACUAAUAUUUGACUGUUUUGACGUUACCGACAGAAUAAGCACCGGCUAACUUCGUGCCAGCCGCCGCAGUAA